GCUGGUGUAGCUCAACGGUAGAGCAGCUGACUUGUAAUCAGCAGGUUGUAGGUUCGAUUCCUAUCACCAGCUCCA
rnacentral:tRNA from 2 species